rnacentral:rRNA from 1 species
UUGAACGCUGGCGGCAGGCCUAACACCUGCAAGUCGAGCGGAUGAGGGGAGCUUGCUCCUGGAUUCAGCGGCGGACGGGUGAGUAAUGCCUAGGAAUCUGCCUGGUAGUGGGGGAUAACGUCCGGAAACGGGCGCUAAUACCGCAUACGUCCUGAGGGAGAAAGUGGGGGAUCUUCGGACCUCACGCUAUCAGAUGAGCCUAGGUCGGAUUAGCUAGUUGGUGGGGUAAAGGCCUACCAAGGCGACGAUCCGUAACUGGUCUGAGAGGAUGAUCAGUCACACUGGAACUGAGACACGGUCCAGACUCCUACGGGAGGCAGCAGUGGGGAAUAUUGGACAAUGGGCGAAAGCCUGAUCCAGCCAUGCCGCGUGUGUGAAGAAGGUCUUCGGAUUGUAAAGCACUUUAAGUUGGGAGGAAGGGCAGUAAGUUAAUACCUUGCUGUUUUGACGUUACCAACAGAAUAAGCACCGGCUAACUUCGUG